GUGUCACUAGUGCAACGGGUUAGAGCACGCGCUCCCGGACUGAGUGAGGAGUGGGUUCGAGUCCCGCCUGAUGCG